rnacentral:lncRNA from 13 species
UAAUGCAGAUUUCAGAGUAAGUGCAGUUUAGGAGGAAAGACAGGAAACUUAUACCUUGUAACUAGUGGUUUAGGGAUAGCAGCAUGUGGUUUCCUGAGCAGUUCAGCUCUGGUUCCAAGUUUACAAGCAUAAUCAAUGCUAUUAACAGAAAAAAAAGUUUCUAAAACAUAGGCAAGACUAGACUGCUACCACAAAAUUUAUUAACAUCUCUCUUUUUUGAGUGAUUCCUAUUUCCCUUCCAAUGGCAACCCCAGCUCCAAUUUAAUCUUACUAUCUCUGGGCCAAAAUUUUUAAGAUAGCCAGUCAUCAAAUUGUCCAUAUUUCUUGACAGCAUCCCAUCCAAAACUGGUCCUUGAUUCUGUAAACUCCUUUCAGAACCAUCCAUCAAUUCCCCAAAUAGAGAAGAAGCUUCUCCUGAGUGUUCCUUAGUAUCUUAACGCUCCUGAAGUUUCCCUGCGUAUGGUCUCUCUUGCCUCAUUAAUCAAUCUAACAAAUAAAUUUGUGAAUACAGGGGUGUUCCUGCUGACCUUUGGUUAGUGAGCUUGACUCCACCUACCCAUCUUAGCAGAAAACGUAGCAAUCUCUCAGGACUUUACCUCCUAAGGAUCUGUAACUGGAUCAAACCCAGCUGCUCACCAGUCAGAGGACAAAAACACAAGAAGUGAGCAUUUCUCCCUCCUGCCAUCAUGUGAAGAAGAAAGUGUUUGCUUCCCCUUCUGCCAUGAAUGAAGUUUCAUGAGACCUCCCCAGUCAUGCAGAACUGCGCCAGGAGGUUGGUGGGCAGCAUCUGCUCACUGAGUCGGGUCCCUGCUGCUCCUGGCCCUGCAGACUGGGAAAUCUUAAAACUCCUCUUUGGAGAUUAUAGGUGACUGCAGCCAGUUAGGAGCCUGUCUACGUGGAAGUGCCGGCUCUGCAGCGGCUUCCAUCACCAGCCUGCGCAUGCGUGCUCCUGGAAGAACCAGCAGCACCGCCUCUACUUCUGAUUGGCUCCGCAUGAGGGGCCGGCCUAUGAAAACAUCACGGCAGCGCGCCCCCGGUGGCGUCACGGCGCACGGAGAUGGGCCUCUGGCGACGUCACA